rnacentral:rRNA from 1 species
AUUGAACGCUGGCGGCAGGCCUAACACAUGCAAGUCGAGCGGAUGAAGGGAGCUUGCUCCUGGAUUCAGCGGCGGACGGGGGAGUAAUGCCUAGGAAUCUGCCUGGUAGUGGGGGAUAACGUCCGGAAACGGGCGCUAAUACCGCAUACGUCCUGAGGGAGAAAGUGGGGGAUCGUCGGACCUCACGCUAUCAGAUGAGCCUAGGUCGGAUUAGCUAGUUGGUGGGGUAAAGGCCUACCAAGGCGAGGAUCCGUAACUGGUCUGAGAGGAUGAUCAGUCACACUGGAACUGGGACGCGGUCCAGACUCCUACGGGAGGCAGCAGUGGGGAAUAUUGGACAAUGGGCGAAAGCCUGAUCCAGCCAUGCCGCGUGUGUGAAGAAGGUCUUCGGAUUGUAAAGCACUUUAAGUUGGGAGGAAGGGCAGUAAGUUAAUACCUUGCUGUUUUGACGUUACCAACAGAAUAAGCACCGGCUAACUUCGUG